GCUCCGCGUUUCGGAUUACGCUAGUGGGUGGGUUAAGGUCUCACCAAGGGGCGAUCGAUCAGUAGCCGGUUCGAGAGGGAAUGAUCGCCCCACAUUGGGAUUGAAGACACGGCCCCAGACUCUUACGGGGAGGCAGCAGUGGGGAAUUUUCCGCAAUGGGCGCAAGCCUGACGGAGCCCAGACCGCGUGAGGGAAGAAGCUCUGGGUCGUAAACCUCUUUUCUCAGGGAGAAAAAAAUGACGGUACUGAGGAAUCAGCCUCGGCUAACUCCGUGCCCAGCAGCCGCGGUAAGACGGAGGAGGCAAGCGUUAUCCGGAAUUAUUGGGCGUAAAGCGUCCGUAGGUGGUUGUUCAAGUCUGCUGUUAAAGCCCAAGGCUCAACCUUGGAUCGGCAGUGGAAACUGAAGAACUAGAGUGCGGUAGGGGUAGAGGGAAUUCCCAGUGUAGCGGUGAAAUGCGUAGAGAUUGGGAAGAACACCGGUGGCGAAAGCGCUCUACUGGGCCGCAACUGACACUCACAGGACGAAAGCUAGGGGAGCGAAAGGGAUUAGAUACCCCUGUAGUCUUAGCUGUAAACGAUGGAUACUAGGCGUGGCUUGUAUCGACCCGAGCCGUGCCGAAGCUAACGCGUUAAGUAUCCCGCCUGGGGAGUACGCACGCAAGUGUGAAACUCAAAGGAAUUGACGGGGGCCCGCACAAGCGGUGGAGUAUGUGGUUUAAUUCGAUGCAACGCGAAGAACCUUACCAGGGCUUGACAUCUGGCGAAUCUCGGUGAAAGCUGAGAGUGCCUUCGGGAGCGCCAAGACAGGUGGUGCAUGGCUGUCGUCAGCUCGUGUCGUGAGAUGUUGGGUUAAGUCCCGCAACGAGCGCAACCCUCGUCCUUAGUUGCCAGCAUUAAGUUGGGCACUUUAGGGAUACUGCCGGUGACAAACCGGAGGAAGGUGGGGAUGACGUCAAGUCAGCAUGCCCCUUACGCCCUAGGCUACACACGUACUACAAUGGUCAGGACAAUGGGCAGCAAGCUCGCGAGAGUUAGCGAAUCCCAUCAAACUUGGCCU
rnacentral:rRNA from 1 species